rnacentral:rRNA from 1 species
GACAGAGGGUGCAAACGUUGCUCGGAUUUACUGGGCGUAAAGGGCGCGUAGGCGGCACAGCAAGUCGGGAGUGAAAGCCCGGGGCUCAACCCCGGAACUGCUUUCGAAACUGCUGAGCUAGAGUACAGAAGGGGCAACCGGAAUUCCCAGUGUAGCGGUGAAAUGCGUAGAUAUUGGGGAAGAACACCUGAGGCGAAGGCGGGUUGCUGGGCUGAUACUGACGCUGAGGCGCGAAAGCCAGGGGAGCAAACGGG